UACGUAGGGUGCAAGCGUUGUCCGGAAUUAUUGGGCGUAAAGAGCUCGUAGGCGGUCUGUUGCGUCGGCUGUGAAAACCCGGGGCUCAACCCCGGGUCUGCAGCCGAUACGGGCAGACUAGAGUUCGGCAGGGGAGACUGGAAUUCCUGGUGUAGCGGUGAAAUGCGCAGAUAUCAGGAGGAACACCGAUUGCGAAGGCAGCUCGCUGGGACGUUACUGACGCUGAGACGCGAAAGCGUGGGGAGCAAACAGG
rnacentral:rRNA from 1 species